GAAGAUGCUGCGAGCUGAUCUUCUAACAUGGACACCCUCUCAAGGGCCACACGGAGCCGCUCUCGAACCUGAUGGGGAAAAUACACAAUGACCCAGUAGCUAGAUGCCGUGUUUGGUUGAUGCUUCAUUUAAGGUCAGGCAGCACGCAGGCACCUUCAGAGCAUCUCCACACUAACUUUAAUGAGAGCAGGAAGGAAAGUAGGGCUUUGUGGUGCUCAAACAGGGAUUUGAGAGCCUUGAGGACUUCCACCUCGCUGGACACGCCUGCAGGGGACUGGGCUUGCCUCUUCACCACCGUCAUCCUCAGGCUGCGCUCGUGGCGGGACACCAGACACUCCAGGUGC